GGGCCUGCGUCGGAUUAGGUAGUUGGUGGGGUAAUGGCCUACCAAGCCUACGAUCCGUAGCUGGUCUGAGAGGAUGAUCAGCCACACUGGGGACUGAGACACGGCCCCAGACUCCUACGGGAGGCAGCAGUGGGGAAUAUUGGACAAUGGGCGCAAGCCUGAUCCAGCAAUGCCGCGUGAGUGAUGAAGGCCUUAGGGUUGUAAAGCUCUUUCACCGGGGAAGAUAAUGACGGUACCCGGAGAAGAAGCCCCGGCUAACUCCGUGCCAGCAGCCGCGGUAAUACGGAGGGGGCGUAGCGUUGUUCGGAAUUACUGGGCGUAAAGCGCGCGUAGGCGGCUUGACAAGUUGGAGGUGAAAGCCCGGAGCUCAACUUCGGAAUUGCCUUCAAGACUGUCUCGCUCGAGGCAGGGAGAGGAGAGCGGAAUACCCAGUGUAGAGGUGAAUUCGUAGAUAUUGGGUGGAACACCGGUGGCGAAGGCGGCUCUCUGGCCCUGAUCUGACGCUAAGGCGCGAAAGCGUGGGAGAC
rnacentral:rRNA from 1 species